UAUGACCGCUGGCGGCAGGCCUAACACAUGCAAGUCGAGCGGAUGAAGGGAGCUUGCUCCUGGAUUUAGCGGCGGACGGGUGAGUAAAGCCUAGGAAUCUGCCUGGUAGUGGGGGACAACGACUCGAAAGGGUCGCUAAUACCGCAUACGUCCUACGGGAGAAAGUGGGGGAUCUUCGGACCUCACGCUAUCAGAUGAGCCUAGGUCGGAUUAGCUAGUAGGUGAGGUAAUGGCUCACCUAGGCGACGAUCCGUAACUGGUCUGAGAGGAUGAUCAGUCACACUGGAACUGAGACACGGUCCAGACUCCUACGGGAGGCAGCAGUGGGGAAUAUUGGACAAUGGGCGAAAGCCUGAUCCAGCCAUGCCGCGUGUGUGAAGAAGGUCUUCGGAUUGUAAAGCACUUUAAGUUGGGAGGAAGGGUUGUAGUUUAAUACGCUGCAACUUUGACGUUACCAACAGAAUAAGCACCGGCUAACUCUGUGCCAGCAGCCGCGGUAAUACAGAGGGUGCAAGCGUUAAUCGGAAUUACUGGGCGUAAAGCGCGCGUAGGCGGCUUGAUAA
rnacentral:rRNA from 1 species